rnacentral:rRNA from 1 species
AUUGAACGCUGGCGGCAGGCUUAACACAUGCAAGUCGAGCGGGGUGAUGGUGCUUGCACUAUCACUUAGCGGCGGACGGGUGAGUAAUGCUUAGGAAUCUGCCUAUUAGUGGGGGACAACAUCUCGAAAGGGAUGCUAAUACCGCAUACGUCCUACGGGAGAAAGCAGGGGAUCACUUGUGACCUUGCGCUAAUAGAUGAGCCUAAGUCGGAUUAGCUAGUUGGUGGGGUAAAGGCCUACCAAGGCGACGAUCUGUAGCGGGUCUGAGAGGAUGAGCCGCAACACUGGGAUUGAGACACGGCCCAGACUCCUACGGGAGGCAGCAGUGGGGAAUAUUGGACAAUGGGGGGAACCCUGAUCCAGCCAUGCCGCGUGUGUGAAGAAGGCCUUAUGGUUGUAAAGCACUUUAAGCGAGGAGGAGGCUCUUUUGGUUAAUACCCAAGAUGAGUGGACGUUACUCGCAGAAUAAGCACCGGCUAACUCUGUGCCAGCCGCCGCGGUAA